GGAGGGUAGCGAGUGUUUAGAAGGGAGAGGAGAGGUGUGCUACAGCUCAGUGUUUUUCCACCGGUGUUUUUGAGGCCAUGUCAGACUAGUCGCUCAGUCAGCAUUAUGACAGGCCUGUUGGUCUCCUUUUUCCAGCAUUAGGAAGCGAGGGGAUUCCGGCAGGAAGGGCAGCGUGAAGAGUUGGAGUAACGCAGUGAAACCAUUGAAACCAAGCAGCCAGGGCCAUCUCUCCUGUGUACCAAGUAACUCACUGCAAGGGCAACAUCAGUGGCAUGCACAAAAACACUACAUGUAUCUAUGACACUGGCCACCUCACCUGAUCCCCAGCAGCUGACCACAGAACUUCCCAAAGGAGAUGAAGGUAGCGACAGUCACAACCACCAUCCCUCGCAGCUUCUUGGGGGCGCAUUCAACAAGCCACCAGCGACCCCAGUAGCCCCCCGAUGCAGAAAAUGGAUACAGUGAAGGACCAGAUGAGAGAAAUCUGCCACUGCUCCAAGGAUACAUUGUAUCUCUGCAGACAUGUUUUGUUCACCAGCUCUUUUAUAAACUGCAAUUAUCACAUGUAGAGAUAGUCUCAUUUUCAUUUUAGUUGUGGCAGCAUAUAAUGUAAGUGUUAUAAAAUUAUUUUUUUAUAGAAGUACCAUACAGUCGUCUUUAUAGCCAAUGUGGAAAUAAUUAAUACAUUUUAUAAUAAACUUGUAUAUGACAUAA